GACGAACGCUGGCGGCGUGCUUAACACAUGCAAGUCACGGGGGUCUCGGGGGCAACUCUGGGAUAACCGGCGAACGGGUGCGUAACACGUGAACAACCUGCCCUCGUGUGGGGGAUAGCCGGGCUAACGCCCGGGUAAUACCGCAUACGUUCCUCUGGGGGAGUCCCUGGGGGAGGAAAGCUCCGGCGCACGGGGAGGGGUUCGCGGCCUAUCAGCUAGUUGGUGCGGUAACGGCGCACCAAGGCGACGACGGGUAGCCGGCCUGAGAGGGCGACCGGCCACACUGGGACUGAGACACGGCCCAGACUCCUACGGGAGGCAGCAGUGGGGAAUAUUGCGCAAUGGGCGAAAGCCUGACGCAGCGACGCCGCGUGAGGGAUGAAGGCCUUCGGUUG
rnacentral:rRNA from 1 species